UUUAUACUUAAAUCUGCCAUGUUCACAUUGUUUAAGUUUGUAGUUAUGUUACCUUGAUUUCAGCUAAGGUGUCAUCUUAAAAACUGUUUUGUUUGUAUUGUAAUAUUUCAAUGAUGGAAAAUGAAUAUGUUGUGGUGUGCAGAUUUCACCAAUGCGGCAAAUUAGGAAAACACUCAAAUGCUUUUCCAAACAUUUUUAAUGAACUGCCAACACGAGAAUGCUCAACAGGAAGUACUUAAAGUUUAAUGGCUUUGUAAAAACACUGAGACAAAGUCUAAGUUCAUUGUGUUCAUGGUGUUUUGAAACUGAAACACAUUUUUUCCUCAGAAAUUUGAACACAUUUCUAAUGUGUGCAUUUUCAGAAUGUGCUUGUUCUGUUUUUAGUCAAGUAAGACAGAAAACAAUCUGAAGUUGUCUUCAUAUUUUUAAGUUAUUAUGCCAUGAUUUUACCAGUCUGGCCCGCGUGGGAAUAGAUUUUACUCCAUGCGGCCCCUGAGCUAAAAUGAGUUUGACACCCCUGUGCUGUACUGUAGCUCAAGGUGUUCAUCUUACAGAUCCAGCAGACAAGCAAAAAGGUAAAUAGUCAAAAGUAAUGACGGGUCAAACACUGAAGCAGAUGCAUUAUGAAACACUAGGAGUGAUACUGUGACCUUCAAAGCCUUAAUGUGUGUGUCAGGUUUAAGACUAGCAGCAUGUGGCGGAUACAACUGCUGUCCUUUUGAAUGUGAAGAAUUCGGAGGAGUAUCGUGUCGGCAUCAGGAUUUGUUGCCGUCUUGGAUCUUAAUAAGACUGUGCCUGUGAAGCCCAGAAAUAGAUGACCAAGUCCAUGCAUGCACUCAUUGCCCACUCGGAUGACGACUCAAGUGGGACUUUAACUAUCAUGGCUCCACUUCCAGGCCUGCUUCUGGACCUCCAUUGCAGCUCCACGCACGCUAGCACCACCACGUCUUCAUGCCCACACUGCAUGUUCCUGCAGGCUGCCUCUUUCUCAUUACUCCUUAACUCCCCGUGGCGCAAAGAGCACAUAUUGCUGAUUGACCAGAUCGCUGACUCAUGAGGCAAAGCUGCCUGCUGGAAUAAGUCCAGUUGCUACUGAGGAGGCCUUGAACGCACCAUCAUGACGUCAUGAC